rnacentral:rRNA from 1 species
UACGGGGGGGGCAAGCGUUGUUCGGAAUUAUUGGGCGUAAAGGGCUCGUAGGCGGUUUGUCGCGUCGGGAGUGAAAACAUCCAGCUUAACUGGGUGCUUGCUUUCGAUACGGGCAGACUUGAGGUAUGCAGGGGAGAAUGGAAUUCCUGGUGUAGCGGUGAAAUGCGCAGAUAUCAGGAGGAACACCGGUGGCGAAGGCGGUUCUCUGGGCAUUACCUGACGCUGAGGAGCGAAAGUGUGGGGAGCGAACAGG